CUACGGGCCGCUCCAGUGAGGAAUAUUGCACAAUGGGGGGAACCCUGAUGCAGCAACGCCGCGUGGAGGAUGACGCAUUUCGGUGUGUAAACUCCUUUUAUAUGUCAAGAAAAUGACGGUAGCAUAUGAAUGAGCACCGGCUAACUCCGUGCCAGCAGCCGCGGUAAUACGGAGGGUGCAAGCGUUACUCGGAAUCACUGGGCGUAAAGGACGCGUAGGCGGGUUGGAAAGUCAGGUGUGAAAUCCUACAGCUUAACUGUAGAACUGCACUUGAAACUUCUAAUCUAGAGUAUGGGAGGGGGAGAUGGAAUUAGUGGUGUAGGGGUAAAAUCCGUAGAUAUCACUAGGAAUACCUAAAGCGAAGGCGAUCUCCUGGAACAUUACUGACGCUAAGGCGUGAAAGCGUGGGGAGCAAACAGGAUUAGAUACCCCUGUAGUC
rnacentral:rRNA from 1 species